rnacentral:rRNA from 1 species
UACUAGAGUAGCACUCGCAUAUCAAUAAGCGGAGGAAAAGAAACUAACAAGGAUUCCCCUAGUAACGGCGAGUGAAGCGGGAAGAGCUCAAAUUUGAAAUCUUAAAGGGUUUCCCUUUACGAAUUGUAGUUUAAAGAAGUGUUUUCUGUUGAGGUUUUGGUAAAAGUUCUUUGGAAUAGGACAUCAUAGAGGGUGAGAAUCCCGUAUUUGACCUUUACUUUCAACUUUGUGAUACACUUUCAAAGAGUCGGAUUGUUUGGGAAUGCAGUCCAAAAUGGGUGGUAAAUUUCAUCUAAAGCUAAAUAUUGGCGAGAGACCGAUAGCGAACAAGUACCGUGAGGGAAAGAUGAAAAGAACUUUGAAAAGAGAGUUAAACAGUACGUGAAAUUGUCAGAAGGGAAGCGUUUGACACCAGUGUUGUUUUUCUGAAAAUCAAUUAAAGAACUGUUUAUGCUAAGUUGUUUAGACUUUAUCAGCUAACUGUUUAGUUUUGAGCUUUUCUUUAAUGCACUUUUCAGUUAACAAGUCAACAUCAAUUUCUUUUGCUGUAAAAAAGCUUGAGGAAGGUGGCUUGAGAUUCGUCUUAAGUGUUUAUAGCCUCUUGCCUAUGCAGUCGGAGAGAUUGAGGUCUGCAGCGUAGAUCCUUCGGGGCUAAAUGCAUUUGUGCUAAGUUAUAGCAUUUUAUAGGGCAACUUGUUGACUAUGAUUUGUCUUGUAGCUUACUCGCUUAUGUUAUUUUACCUACGCUUAGGAUGUUGAGCGCAUGUCUCUCUCU